CCUGGUUGAUCCCUCCAGUAGUCAUAUUCUUGUCUCAAAAAUUAGGCUAUGCAUGUCUAAGUAUGAACUAAUUCAGACAAUGAAACUAUGGAUGGCUCAUUAAAUCAAUUAUAGUUUCUUUUAUGGUACCAUACUACUCAGAUAACCAUAGUAAUUCUAGAGCUAAUACAUGCACCAAGUCCUGACUCUUUGGAAGGGAUGAAUUUUUCUGAUAAAAAGCCAGUGCAGGCUUUCCUACUUCUCCAGUCCUUGUGUUCACGAUGCUUCAUUCAAAUUAAUGGCCUCUCAACUUUUGAUGGUAGGAUAGAGGCCUACCAUGGUGGUGAUGGGUGACAGUGAAUUAGGGUUCGAUUUCAGAGAGGGAACCUGAGAAACAACUACCACGUCCAAGGAAGGUAGCAGGCGUGCAAAUUACCCAAUCUUGAAAUAGGGAGGUAGUGACAAUAAAUAACAAUACUGGGCUCAUCGAGUAUGGUAAUUGGAAUGAGUACAAUCUAAAUCCCUUAACGAGGAUCCAUUGGAGGGAAAGUAUGGUGCCAGUAGCCACGGUAAUUCCAGCUCCAAUAUCCUAUAUUUAAGUUGUUGUAGUUAAAAAUAUAAAAGUUGGAUCUAGGGUCACAAAGGUCGGUCCACCUACUCAGUGUGCACCUGUCCUUCCAUCCCUUUUGUCGGCGGCAUUCUCCUAGCCUUAAUUGGCUGGGUCAUGGCUCCGACAUUGUUAGUUUGAAAAAAUUAGAGUGCUCAAAGCAUGCUUAUGCUCUAAGUACAUUAGCAUGGAAUAACGUGAUAGGAGUAUGGUCCUAUUGUGUUAGCCUUUUGCACCAAAGUAAUGAUUAAUAGGGACUUGCGGGGCAUUCAUAUUUCAUUGUCAUAGGUGAAAUUCUUGGAUUUAUUAAAGACGGACCACUGCAAAAUCAUUUUCCAAGGAUGUUUUCAUUAAUCCAGAAUGAAAUUUGGGGGCUCAAAGACAAUCAGAUACCAUCCUAGUCUCAACCAUAAACGAUGCCAACUAGGGAUCGAUGAAUGUUGCUCUAAGGACUUCGCCAGCACCUUCUGAGAAAUUAGAGUGUUUGGGUUAUGGGGGGAGUAUGGUCGCAAGGCUGAAACUUAAAGAAAUUGGCAAAAGGGCCCCACCAGGAGUGGAGCCUCUGGCUUAAUUUGAAUCAACACGGGGAAACUUACCGGGUCCAGACAUAGUAAUGAUUGACAUAUUAAGAGCUCUUUCUUGAUUCUAUGGGUGGUGGUGCAUGGCCAUUCUUAGUUAGUGGAGAGAUUUGUUUGGUUAAUUUUGAUAAUGAACAAGACCUGAACCUGCUAACUAGCUAUGUUGAGUUUCCCCUUUAUGGCCAACUUCUUAGAGGGACAAUGGUCAUUUUGGGCAUGGAAGUUUGAGGAAAUAAUAGGUCUAUGAAGCCCUUUUAUGUUCUAGGCCGCACGUGCAUUACACUGAUGUAGCCAAUGCAUUUUUCUUCCUAGUUCAGGAGGAUCAAGAAAUAUUCUCAAAUUACAUCAUGAUGGGGAUAGAACAUUUAUAUUAUUGGUCUUCAACAAGGAAUUCCUAGUAAAUGCAUGUCAUCAUCUCGUGUUGACUAUGUCCAUGCACUUUGUACACACUACCCGUCACUCCUACUGAUUGAAUGAUCUGAUGAAGUGUUUGGAUUGCGUCAAUGAUGGAAGUUUGUCGUGGUCGACCACAUGAGAAGUUUAUUGGACCUUAUCAUUUAGAGGAAGGAGAAACCGUAACAAGGUUAUCGUAGGUGAACCUGCAAUUG
rnacentral:rRNA from 1 species